rnacentral:rRNA from 1 species
GACGAACGCUGGCGGCGUGCCUAACACAUGCAAGUCGAGGGGUAGAAUUAGCUUGCUAAUUUGAGACCGGCGCACGGGUGCGUAACGCGUAUGCAAUCUACCUUGUACAGGGGGAUAGCCCAGAGAAAUUUGGAUUAAUACUCCAUGGUAUAAUUGAAUCGCAUGGUUUGAUUAUUAAAGUUCCAACGGUACAAGAUGAGCAUGCGUCCCAUUAGCUAGUUGGUGUGGUAACGGCAUACCAAGGCGACGAUGGGUAGGGGUCCUGAGAGGGAGAUCCCCCACACUGGUACUGAGACACGGACCAGACUCCUACGGGAGGCAGCAGUGAGGAAUAUUGGUCAAUGGUCGGAAGACUGAACCAGCCAUGCCGCGUGCAGGAAGACGGUCCUAUGGAUUGUAAACUGCUUUUGUACGGGAAGAAACACUCCUUCGUGAAGGAGCUUGACGGUACCGUAAGAAUAAGGAUCGGCUAACUCCGUGCCAGCAGCCGCGGUAAUCUCGU